rnacentral:rRNA from 1 species
UCCCAGCGGUCCAAGUCGCAGCCACAUUUGUUGGGUCUAAAACAUCCGUAGCUUGCCUUUCAAGUCUUUUGUGAAAUCGGGCAUCUUAAGUGUCCGGCGAGCAAAAGAUACUGUUUGGCUAGAGACCGGGAGACGCAAGAAGUACAGUUGGGGUAGCGGUAAAAUGUGUUGAUCCUAUCUGGACUAACAAUAGCGAAGGCAUCUUGCGAGAACGGAUCUGACAGUGAGGGAUGAAGGCUAGGGGCGCAAAGUG